AUUGAACGCUGGCGGCAGGCCUAACACAUGCAAGUCGGACGGUAGCACAGAGAGCUUGCUCUUGGGUGACGAGUGGCGGACGGGUGAGUAAUGUCUGGGGAUCUGCCCGAUAGAGGGGGAUAACCACUGGAAACGGUGGCUAAUACCGCAUAACGUCGCAAGACCAAAGAGGGGGACCUUCGGGCCUCUCACUAUCGGAUGAACCCAGAUGGGAUUAGCUAGUAGGCGGGGUAAUGGCCCACCUAGGCGACGAUCCCUAGCUGGUCUGAGAGGAUGACCAGCCACACUGGAACUGAGACACGGUCCAGACUCCUACGGGAGUCAGCAGUGGGGAAUAUUGCACAAUGGGCGCAAGCCUGCUGCAGCCAUGCAGCGUGUAUGAAGAAGGCCUUCGGGUUGUAAAGUACUUUCAGCGGGGAGGAAGGCGGUACGGUUAAUAACCGUACCGAUUGACGUUACCCGCAGAAGAAGCACCGGCUAACUCCGUGCCAGCCGCCGCCGUAA
rnacentral:rRNA from 1 species